GAUGAACGCUGGCGGCGUGCCUAAUACAUGCAAGUCGAGCGAACAGAUGAGGAGCUUGCUCCUCUGACGUUAGCGGCGGACGGGUGAGUAACACGUGGAUAACCUACCUAUAAGACUGGGAUAACUUCGGGAAACCGGAGCUAAUACCGGAUAAUAUAUUGAACCGCAUGGUUCAAUAGUGAAAGACGGUUUUGCUGUCACUUAUAGAUGGAUCCGCGCCGCAUUAGCUAGUUGGUAAGGUAACGGCUUACCAAGGCAACGAUGCGUAGCCGACCUGAGAGGGUGAUCGGCCACACUGGAACUGAGACACGGUCCAUACUCCUAAGGGAGGCAGCAGUAGGGAAUCUUCCGCAAUGGGCGAAAGCCUGACGGAGCAACGCCGCGUGAGUGAUGAAGGUCUUCGGAUCGUAAAACUCUGUUAUUAGGGAAGAACAAAUGUGUAAGUAACUAUGCACGUCUUGACGGUACCUAAUCAGAAAGCCACGGCUAACUACGUG
rnacentral:rRNA from 1 species